rnacentral:snoRNA from 1 species
AGUAUCAGGUCAUGAAACCUUAAAUAACCCGAGGACACAUUCUCUUUUUCUGUGUUAAAGUAUCAGGUGAUAAUCUUAUCCUGUGAAUGAGAAGUCUUUAAUUUCUGAUGAUACU